rnacentral:rRNA from 1 species
UACGGAGGGUGCAAGCGUUAAUCGGAAUUACUGGGCGUAAAGCGUGCGCAGGCGGUUUGUUAAGUCUGAUGUGAAAGCCCCGGGCUCAACCUGGGAACUGCAUUGGAAACUGGCAAGCUCGAGUAUGGCAGAGGGGGGUGGAAUUCCGCGUGUAGCAGUGAAAUGCGUAGAGAUGCGGAGGAACACCGAUGGCGAAGGCAGCCCCCUGGGCCAAUACUGACGCUCAGGCACGAAAGCGUGGGGAGCAAACAGG